UACAGAGGUCCCAAGCGUUGUUCGGAUUUACUGGGCGUAAAGGGUGCGUAGGUGGUCGGGCAAGUCUCAUGUGAAAUCUCCAAGCUUAACUUGGAAAUGGCAUGGGAUACUAUUCGGCUAGAGGAUUGGAGGGGGGACUGGAGUUCCCGGUGUAGCAGUGAAAUGCGUAGAUAUCGGGAGGAACACCAGUGGCGAAGGCGAGUCCCUGGACAAUUCCUGACGCUGAGGCACGAAAGCUAGGGGAGCAAACAGG
rnacentral:rRNA from 1 species